rnacentral:rRNA from 1 species
GAUGAACGCUGGCGGCGUGCCUAAUACAUGCAAGUCGAGCGAAUGGAUUAAGAGCUUGCUCUUAUGAAGUUAGCGGCGGACGGGCGAGUAACACGUGGGUAACCUGCCCAUAAGACUGGGAUAACUCCGGGAAACCGGGGCUAAUACCGGAUAACAUUUUGAACCGCAUGGUUCGAAAUUGAAAGGCGGCUUCGGCUGUCACUUAUGGAUGGACCCGGGUCGCAUUAGCUAGUUGGUGAGGUAACGGCUCACCAAGGCAACGAUGCGUAGCCGACCUGAGAGGGUGAUCGGCCACACUGGGACUGAGACACGGCCCAGACUCCUACGGGAGGCAGCAGUAGGGAAUCUUCCGCAAUGGACGAAAGUCUGACGGAGCAACGCCGCGUGAGUGAUGAAGGCUUUCGGGUCGUAAAACUCUGUUGUUAGGGAAGAACAAGUGCUAGUUGAAUAAGCUGGCACCUUGACGGUACCUAACCAGAAAGCCACGGCUAACUACGUGCCAGCAGCCGCCGCGG